CUUUAUUUAACUAGGCAAGUCAGUUAAGAACUAAUUCUUAUUUUCAAUGACGGCCUACCGGGGAACAGUGAGUUAACUGCCUUGUUCAGGGGCAGAACGACAGAUUUUUACCUUGUCAGCUCCGGGAUUCGAUCUUGCAACCUUUCGGUUACUAGUCCAACGCCCUUACCACUAGGCUACCAGCCACCCCGAUAACUUGGCUAUAUACACAGGGUACCAGUCCGUUUCGAAAACUAGGAAUAAAGGCCCUGGCUCGGGUGGCUGAGGGCCUUGAUGAUCUUCUUGGCCUUUCUGUGACACCGGGUGCUGUAGAUGUCCUGGAGGGCAGGCAGUGUGCCCCUGGUGAUACAGCCUGCCAGGAUGCUGUCAAUGGUGCAUCUGUAGAAGUUUGUGAGGGUCCAGAGGUUGAAGAGGCGCUUUUGCGCCUUCUUCACCACACGGUCUGUGUGAAGGGACCAUUUCAGGUUGUCAGGGAUGUGAAUGCCGAGGAACUUGACACUUUUUACCCUCUCCUCUGCAACCCUGUCGAUUUGGAUGGGGUUGUGCUCUCGUCUCCUGUAGUCCACGAUCAGCUCCUUCGUUUUGUUGACAUUGUGGGAGAGGUUAUUUUCCUGGCACCACUUCGCCAGGGCUCUCACCUCCUCACUGUAGGCUUUCUUGUUGUUGUUGGUAACUGUAGUCGGCAAAAAACUUGAUCAAGUCGGAGACGUGUGUGGACACGCAGUCAUGGGUGAAUAGGGAGUGAAGGUGGGGGCUGAGCACGCGCUAGCCUAGGCAGCCGAUAGUGGGUUCUGGAGCUGCACUAUUGUCUAGGAUUUUAUGUGCAUUCCCGGUAAUACACUCGGUUCAUUACUCGGCGUUUCAUUAUCGGUGACAUCUGCUGGUAAGCAAUAAAUAGCAGCAUGUGAAAUAUCAGAGACAUUUUUUCUCCAUUGUUUUCAUCAAAACUUCGUGGUGCAGCUUACAUUAUGCUUCCUUUUUUGCCUUCACUUUUACUAUUUUUUCAAAACUGAAUCUAUGGCAUUAUUUAGGAUACUUAAGGCAGAAGCUUAUACUACAUUAAAUAAAACAAUUAUUUGAACAAAAGUGCAGAAAGUGUGGUUUCACAUAAAACAAAAUUGAAAAUAGUGUGCCUUCAACAGGGAUUCAACCUCAAUCCCUCAUGUCCAAUAGUGCGCAACUGCAGGCCGCAAUUCCUGCAUGUGGACAUACCUGCAUCUGCAGGAAUGCCCCCCACCCUGCGCAACCCAUUGGUUCCUGCAUGAACUGACCCUCUCAAGCACAUCUUCGUCUUACACUUUUGAAUGUGGGUCAAAAGGGAAAUAAAAGUAUUAUCUGAGUUUGGAUAGUGUCCUUCGCUCCUGCCUGCCGAACACCUGCGCUCACCGUUGUUAAUAACAUAACUGCGGGAGAACAGCUAGCUAC
rnacentral:lncRNA from 1 species